CCUACGGGAGGCAGCAGUGAGGAAUAUUGGUCAAUGGCCGGAAGGCUGAACCAGCCAAGCCGCGUGAAGGACGAAGGUGCCAAGCAUUGUAAACUUCUUUUGUCAAGGAAUAAAACGAGGCACGUGUGCCUUUUUGCGUGUACUUUAUGAAUAAGGAUCGGCUAACUCCGUGCCAGCAGCCGCGGUAAUACGGAGGAUGCGAGCGUUAUCCGGAUUUAUUGGGUUUAAAGGGAGCGUAGGCGGGAUGUUAAGUCAGUUGUGAAAGUUUGCGGCUCAAACGUAAAAUAGCAAUUGAUACUGGCAGUCUUGAGAACAGUUGAGGUAGGCGGAAUGCGUAGUGUAGCGGUGAAAUGCUUAGAUAUUGCGAAGAACCCCGAUUGCGAAGGCAGCUUACUA
rnacentral:rRNA from 1 species